CACCCGUCGAAAGUAAUUUAGCUUGCCAACCAUCAAUCCUUCUUUGGGUCUUCUCGAUUAAAUCUCUCCAAACCUCCUUAUGCAGUGUCUUAUUGCACAAUGGUAAACCUAAAUAUCUGGUCGGUAACACCCCAACCUUGCAUCCUAGACAUAAAGCUAGUCUACUAUCCUUCCCCACUGUACUUCCCAUAUAUAAGAGUUCAGUUUUAUCUCUAUUUAUCUUGACUCCAGAGACCCACUCAAAUAGGCUCCACAUAAAUUCGAUGUUCUUCAAGUACUAUUUUUUAGCCUCAGAAAAAAAGGUGUCAUCCGCAUAUUGGAUC
rnacentral:lncRNA from 1 species